ACGCCCUGGUGAUAGGCAAGGAGACACCUUGUUGGUGAUGUUGAUCUUGUAUCAGUUGGGACCAGAACAGAUAGCAGCCAUUGUUCAUCCUAGUUUAAUGCUUGGCUUGGUGGCCAAAACUGUCUUAUGCCUAGGACUAAUAA
ensembl:snoRNA